rnacentral:rRNA from 1 species
GUUGAUAAGGUUAAGUGAAUAAGGGCGCACGGUGGAUGCCUUGGCACUAGGAGCCGAUGAAGGACGGGACUAACACCGAUAUGCUUUGGGGAGCUGUACGUAAGCUAUGAUCCAGAGAUUUCCGAAUGGGGGAACCCAACAUCUUUAAUAGGAUGUUACGAUUGUGUGAAUACAUAGCACAUUCGAGGUAGACGCAGAGAACUGAAACAUCUAAGUACCUGCAGGAAGAGAAAGAAAAUUCGAUUCCCUGAGUAGCGGCGAGCGAAACGGGAAAAGCCCAAACCAGCAAGCUUGCUUGUUGGGGUU